AUUGAACGCUGGCGGCAUGCUUUACACAUGCCAGUCGAACGGUAACAGGCCUUCGGGUGCUGACGAGUGGCGAACGGGUGAGUAAUGCAUCGGAACGUACCCAGAGGUGGGGGAUAACGCAGCGAAAGCUGUGCUAAUACCGCAUGUGAUCUGAGGAUGAAAGCGGGGGACCGAGCAGCAAUGUUUGGCCUCGCGCCUUUGGAGCGGCCGAUGUCGGAUUAGCUAGUUGGUGGGGUAAAGGCCUACCAAGGCGACGAUCCGUAGCUGGUCUGAGAGGACGACCAGCCACACUGGGACUGAGACACGGCCCAGACUCCUACGGGAGGCAGCAGUGGGGAAUUUUGGACAAUGGGCGCAAGCCUGAUCCAGCAAUGCCGCGUGCGGGAAGAAGGCCUUCGGGUUGCAAACCGCUUUUGGCAGGAACGAAACGGUGUCCGCUAAUACCGGGCGCUAAUGACGGUACCUGCAGAAUAAGCACCGGCUAACUACGUG
rnacentral:rRNA from 1 species